UACGUAGGGGGCGAGCGUUGUCCGGAUUUAUUGGGCGUAAAGAGCUCGUAGGCGGUUUGGUAAGUCGGGUGUGAAAUCUCCACGCUCAACGUGGAGGGGCCACUCGAUACUGCCAUGACUCGAGUCCGGUAGAGGAGUGUGGAAUUCCCGGUGUAGCGGUGAAAUGCGCAGAUAUCAGGAGGAACACCGAUGGCGAAGGCAGGUCACUGGGCCGCAACUGACGCUGAGGAGCGAAAGCAUGGGGAGCGAACAGG
rnacentral:rRNA from 1 species